GGGAAUAUAGCUCAGUGGUAGAGUGUGUGCUUAGCAUGCCCAAGGUCCUGGGUUCAAUCCCUAGUAUCUCCA
rnacentral:tRNA from 1 species